rnacentral:tRNA from 1 species
GGGCCAUUAGCUCAACAGGCAGAGCACCUGACUCUUAAUCAGGGGGUUGGAGGUUCGAAGCCUCCAUGGCUCACCA